rnacentral:rRNA from 1 species
GACGAACGCUGGCGGCGUGCCUAAUACAUGCAAGUCGAGCGGACGGAUGGGAGCUUGCACCCAGACCGUCAGCGGCGGACGGGUGAGUAACACGUGGGCAACCUGCCUGUAAGACUGGGAUAACUCCGGGAAACCGGGGCUAAUACCGGAUAACUCUUUCCCUCACAUGAGGGAAAGCUGAAAGAUGGCAUCUCGCUAUCACUUACAGAUGGGCCCGCGGCGCAUUAGCUAGUUGGUGAGGUAACGGCUCACCAAGGCGACGAUGCGUAGCCGACCUGAGAGGGUGAUCGGCCACACUGGGACUGAGACACGGCCCAGACUCCUACGGGAGGCAGCAGUAGGGAAUCUUCCGCAAUGGACGAAAGUCUGACGGAGCAACGCCGCGUGAGUGAUGAAGGUUUUCGGAUCGUAAAACUCUGUUGUCAGGGAAGAACAAGUACCGGAGUAACUGCCGGUACCUUGACGGUACCUGACCAGAAAGCCACGGCUAACUACGUG